CAAAAACAGUCCGUUAAGUCGUCGACGUCAAGUAGAGGCUACGUCGUCGGAGAAGACAAGAGGACCAAAUGACAAACAUGAUGUUUAUGUUGAUUGAAUGGGUUGAAGAUCCCCCAACUUGGGAUGUAUUGCCUGUAAAGAAGGUCAUUUACGGCGAAAUCGAGAGAGCAGAAACACCUUGCUAAAAGCACUGGGAAAACUGGAGAGAGACCGGGCAGGAGGCCCAACAACAGCAUCCAGGCCAAGCGGCCAGGGUCAGAGGGAGAAGCGCCCCCCUGCACCAUACUCACCUGGUGGCAUCACCAGUGACAAUGAUGAGUGUGUCCCCAUGAAACGCAAGAAGAAGGAAAGGGAGUCCUUUUCUAAUGGAAUACCAUGCCGUUCUGGGAAAGUCCUCUGGCGAUUCAGCCGGUCUGGGAAAGUCCUCUGGCGAUUCAGUAAGUGAACUCGCAAUGGUUUUCAGCGCAAAUCGUGCAGCCAGCUUGAUGAGAUCUACAAUAUAUUAAUUGAUAUGAACCACCAGAAUUAGCAGGCUGGAGAAACAUAUAAUUACAAUGGGUAUUAUUUUUUUCAUGUUAUUGUACAGACCACAAAACGCCUAUGCCAGCAGGAGCGUCAGUACCACCAACAGUGCAACACACACUGGCUGCACCAACAACACCAGUGCGCCAACCAGCACCACCAGCACAAGUGCGCCAACCAGCACCACCAGCACCAACUCCCCCAUCAGCAAGUGCAACUACCAUCUGCAGCACCAACAACACAGAUGUUCAUAUAGGACCUUCCACUUCAAUAACCCAGCUUCAAUAUGGUUCAGUCAAGUGGUUUAAUGCUAAAAAGGCCACGAAGGACCUUCUUCUGGCCGUGUUUGCGAGGAGCAUACUUG